rnacentral:lncRNA from 1 species
UCAUUUUUCCUUCUGCACGAUUUUAAAGUUUAGAAAGCCAAAGUCAUGGCUUUUACAUUCGGCCAAGCUUAGAUUUUCAAUUAGGGUAUGGUUUUUAUUCCGUUUUUAAUAAUUUUUACGUUUUUGAGAUCGUUGUUUUGUAUUCUAGCUAGCCCGUACCUCAAUUUCUGAAAAUUUUGAUGAUUUUGAAAUAUGCCAUUGUUGAAUACUAGUAUAUUUUGAAGUAUUAUGCUAGAUUUUUGAUGGGUAUUGAAAUAUAUACAAGUUUUAUAAAGUAAAUUUUGACAAAAUGAGCUUUAGGGAUUUAAAAAAAAUAGAAAUAUUAUGUUAGAAAUGUGAAAUAAAUGAAAAUAUGGGCUGAUUAGAAGAUAUAUAUUAUUCGGCUAAGAAUACGUAUAAAGAAAUUUCGUAUAUUUUGUGUAUUUGUGAAUUAGGAACUAAAGUGUCAAAAUGUGAAAAAUAUGAAGGCUAUUUUGUAAAAAUGCCAAAAUAUAUUUAUAUGGAUUGAAUUGAUUGAUUUGAUGAAUAAAUGAGUUAAAUUUGAAUUUAUAUAGAUCAAGAUAAACAAAUACUGGAACUUGAUCGGGGAAACAAAAGUUAGACGGGUAGACGAAAGUAUUCGAGCAAAUACGAGGUAAGUUCGUGUAGCUAGAAUUGAAUUAUUAAAUAUUUGUAAUUGUCCAAAAAUGAAUGUAUGUAAGUUGAAUGAAUGAUAUACUUGAAUUUUAAAUUACCGGUAUACUAUUAUAUUACUGUUUACAUGAAUGCAAAUGAAAUGUUACAAAUACUAUAUACGUUAUAUAGAUUUGGCAUGAUAGGCAUUGAAUAUGAAAUUUUGAGUAUUUAAAUGUAUGUACUUAAUAAUAUUAGAUAUAUAUAUACAUAUGAAUUGAGAAAUUGAGUUAUUGAUUUUUCAUUGCUUAAUUGAUGAAAUUGGAUAAUACUGAGCCCGUUUGAACUUUAGAAAAUUGUCGGAUACGAGUGAUUUGUCACUAGGAUUAUCGUUUGGUCGAGCUCCUGCAUUUGUUGCGGACUCACCACAGCUCGUAUGAGCUUACCGUUUCAGCUCUACGGAGCUUACCGUUUCAGCUCAAUAGAGCUUACCGUUUAUCAGCUCGGAAUGAGCUUAUCGAUCAUGGCUCGAAAGAGCGAAAAUGACAAUGAAUUGACGAAUUUCUGAUAAAUACACUUAUAGUGUAUCACCCGUGUAUCCCUCGAUGUUCUAAUAGGUUCAACAGGCAUAAUUACUAUUACUGAUUAUAUGAAUAAGCUAUGUAAUUACAUGGAUGAAUUACCGUUGAUAUGUAUAAGUUACGGAUAAAUUUCUGUUAUUACCGAUGAAUUGCAGGUUAUACGAAUAGGAAAGAAUUGAUACAAAUGUUAUAUGAUUUACAUGAUUUAAAAGUUACAUGAAAUACAUGAUUUACAUGGAUUGUUGUUUUAUGAAUAUAUGAAUUAUAGGGACGACAUGAUAUAUUUGGCUAUAUGACUCACUCUUGGAUGGUGAUGUGAAUAAACUUUGUGGACAAAUGAAUUGAUUUUAAUUGUUUUAAUGCUUAGAUAUUAAAUUGGAAAAUUUUAAUUCUAUAUUAUACGGCUUACUAAGCUUAGUGCUUACUUAAUUCAUUUUCUUAUGUUCUAUAUAUUCGAAAGCUAGCUCGAUUUUGGACAAGGUCGGAGAUUGGCUAUCACACUAUCAAAAUGAUUUUUGGUACUUUUGGACCUCAUGCAAUUAAUAUAAAUAUGGCAUGUAUAGUUAGUUUUUGGUAUGAAUUUUUUGGGUUUGAUCAAGCUAUGUGAUAUGGCUUGAGUUGGAAAUGUUUAGUUUAGAAUGGAAACAUUAUGUGUUAUGUUCAUUUUGGGUGCACUUUGAUAAAGGGUAUUUUGGUAUAAUUGAGUAUAUAAAUGCAUUGGUUGAAAUUUGAAAUUUGCAGGGAAGGUUCAAUAGUUAUAAAGGGGUUAUAUUCAAAUUAAAAAAAAAAAGAAAAUGAAAAUGAA